CUACGGGAGGCAGCAGUGGGGAAUUUUGGACAAUGGGGGCAACCCUGAUCCAGCCAUGCCGCGUGAGUGAAGAAGGCCUUCGGGUUGUAAAGCUCUUUCGGCUGGGAAGAAAUCGCAUCUCCUAAUACGGGGUGUGGAUGACGGUACCAGCAUAAGAAGCACCGGCUAACUACGUGCCAGCAGCCGCGGUAAUACGUAGGGUGCGAGCGUUAAUCGGAAUUACUGGGCGUAAAGCGUGCGCAGGCGGUUUCGUAAGACAGAGGUGAAAUCCCCGGGCUCAACCUGGGAACUGCCUUUGUGACUGCGAGGCUAGAGUAUGGCAGAGGGGGGUGGAAUUCCACGUGUAGCAGUGAAAUGCGUAGAGAUGUGGAGGAACACCGAUGGCGAAGGCAGCCCCCUGGGCCAAUACUGACGCUCAUGCACGAAAGCGUGGGGAGCAAACAGGAUUAGAUACCCCGGUAGUCC
rnacentral:rRNA from 1 species